UAGGGAAUCUUCGGCAAUGGACGGAAGUCUGACCGAGCAACGCCGCGUGAGUGAAGAAGGUUUUCGGAUCGUAAAGCUCUGUUGUUAGAGAAGAACGUUGGUAGGAGUGGAAAAUCUACCAAGUGACGGUAACUAACCAGAAAGGGACGGCUAACUACGUGCCAGCAGCCGGGGUAAUACGUUUGUCCGGAGCGUUGUCCGGGUUUAUUGGGCGAAAAGCGAGCGCAGGCGGUUCUUUAAGUCUGAAGUUAAAGGCAGUGGCUUAACCAUUGUACGCUUUGGAAACUGGAGGACUUGAGUGCAGAAGGGGAGAGUGGAAUUCCAUGUGUAGCGGUGAAAUGCGUAGAUAUAUGGAGGAACACCGGUGGCGAAAGCGGCUCUCUGGUCUGUAACUGACGCUGAGGCUCGAAAGCGUGGGGAGCAAACAGG
rnacentral:rRNA from 1 species